ACUACACUGGGCAAUGAGCAGCUUGACAUAAUGCAGUUGGUGCAGGAAGAAAAUAUCUGGCAAAGUUGAAAAGAUAUCAGCGACAAGGAGUGAACUCUCCCCUUGCCACAGCAGGAGAGCACAUAACAUUAACAACCAUCACUGACAAGGGAAGAAUAAAUGGUCCUCAACCAUUCCGCUGUGCAGAACAUUGCAUAUAACAUCACUGCCAUCUAUGCAGGCUAUGUGAAAGAUUUUACCAUGAAUGGAUCAAUUUUGAAUGGAGCUGAUGAUCGCUAUGAAUACUCAGGAAUCAAAUUACAUCAGGAUGUGGCUGGAGCAGAUCCAAAGAAACUACUACUACAUCAGGAACUAUCAGCAGUGUCUAACACACCCAAGUCUAAUCAAGUCUCACCAAAUUAUGUGGACAGAAGCUUGUUGGCAUUUAUAUUGCAGAUACAGGGAUGGCACUUAACUGUGAUAAUCAAGGAAUCAAUCAAGGCAUUCAAGUUGAUGCUAUACAUAAUAUAUUUCUUGUUUUAAGUACUGAGGGAUGUUGCAUAUAUAAGAGAGUGAUUUUCUGUUUGUUGAUUUAUUUAUUUUAUUUCACUUUUAAAAACAAUAAAAACAUAAGAGAAAGUACAAAUAAA